rnacentral:lncRNA from 1 species
GAAUUCCUUGAGCAGCCAGAGGAGAAACCGGGGACCGUGUUAGAGACAGACGGGACAUGCUUCUUCCCUCCUUUGUCUCCAUAAACACGCACGGCGACCGCUCGGGUCUGCCUCCAGAGCCACUCGGAGACAAUUGGUUACGCUGAGAAGCGAGCCCUGCGAGAGCGCGGAGCGGGCUGCGCUGCCUCCGCCGCGCCGGGGCCGGGCCGUCUUCAGAGCCGGGGCCGGGGCGGCAGCGCGGGCACCCCGGGCCGCGGGGCUCCGCCGGCGCUGCCCAUGCUGGAGCGGAGCAAAACAAAACAUACACACACGCACGCACACACACACACACGCACGGGCACACACACGGCGCUAGCAAAG